rnacentral:rRNA from 1 species
AGUGAACGCUGGCGGCAGGCUUAACACAUGCAAGUCGAACGGUAACACACUAUGAGCUUGUUCUGACGGGUGGACGGUGGCGUAAGGGAGAGGAACAUACCCGAAUCUAGGUUUUAGCGCGGCAUAAGGUAGGGUAAUUUACGCUAAGAUCGGAGACGACCUACGGGUGAAAGAGGGGGAACGUUUGACCUUGCGCGUAUGGAUGAGCCGAUGUCGGAUUAGCUAGUUGGGGGGGUAAAGGCCCACCAAGGCGACGAUCCGUAGCUGGUCUGAGAGGACGAUCAGCCACACUGGAACUGAGACACGGUCCAGACUCCUACGGGAGGCAGCAGUGGGGAAUGUUGGACAAUGGGCGCAAGCCUGAUCCAGCCAUACCGCGUGGGUGAAGAAGGCCUUCGGGUUGUAAAGCCCUUUUGUUGGGAAAGAAAAGCAGCAGGUUAAUACCCCGCGGUUCUGACGGUACCGAAAGAAUAAGCACCGGCUAACUUCGUG